rnacentral:lncRNA from 15 species
AUGUCCACAGGGCAACAUUUGAGACUUUGCCCCCUUUUGUUCGUUGAAAAGGGGUUAAGAGACGAUCAGCUCUCAGGCCGACGGGGUUCAGGGAAAACUGGAGCUGGAUGGAAAAGAGAUAUUUGUCUCCCUUACGGCUGGGAGGAGGCCUACACUGCAGACGGACUGAAAUACUACAUCAAUCACAUGACCCAGACGACAUCAUGGAGCCUCCCCGUGACCAGCGGCGGCGUUGCUCCUGGGGCUCCUCCCCCUCUGGAGACCUCGGAGCUGGAGGCGGAGCGCGACGUGGAGGCGACCGACCGAAGGCCCAGCCCGUCCAUAGAGACGGAGAUGUAAAGACCUGCAGCAGAUCCUCAUUAGUGUUACCAUAGCAACAGACGGCUCACCUGUAGUAACCGGUGCUGUUUGGUUCAUUCAAACCUACAGAACUUUAUUUAACGUCCCAAGAGUUAAAUAUUCAGAUUGAUCCCACUUUCUCGUCUGUACAGAGCACAAGAGUUAGCUGAUAAUUAGCCUGAUCAGUAAUCAAUACUCACAUUAUUAAAGCAUUAAUCAACCUGGUCAGCCUUCAGCAGUUAGCUAGUGUUUCUGUAGUGGAGACUGAACGUUAACAAUGAUCCAUAUUAGCAGUUUGAAUCCAACCAAAAGCUCCCUGCACCAAACUCCCUUUAAGAAUAUCACAUUUUAACAAUUCCAAUUUGAAUGAAGUUAUCUGAAGGUAAAAUGAGUGUUUUUGUCUCCGGAGUCUGGUGGAGAGUGAAAGUGUUUCUGGUUAAAUUAAAGGUCUAUCUCUGUAGGGCUUUUGUGUAUAUAUAUAACCUUUAAAGCACUAAAAGUAAAACGUUAUUAGGUCAUAAUUAUUGAUUAAUUAAUAUGUUUAUUGUCUUUGUCCAUAUAGGUAGAGCUUAUUUUAAUGACUUGAUAUACUGGCGGGUAGCUUAAUCUAUAGUAAUGAUAUGAAAAAAAAAAACAAAAAAACAAAGAAGUUGAGUUUUUGUUGAUUUUUUUGCAUCCAUUGUUAAAUAGGGGAACAAUAUAACUGAGGAAGUGAUCUUAAAGGGUUAAAAUGACAUUAUCUUUAAUUAUUCUUCUUGAAAUAAUUUUUCUUAUCUGCUGCACUUUUUCAUGGUGGUUUUCAAAGAUGGUAUACAAAUAAAGUUAUAAUCAUUGUUAUAUAGUAAAUUGUAUUAUUAUUAAGUACCUCAAAACUGCACUUAAGUACAUCACUUGAGUAAAUGUACUUCCGUCCCACUGACACUGAAUUAUUGGACAUUACAGAACCACUUUAUCAAAUACAGUUUCAUGCAAUAAAAAGAAGAAGGCAUAUUGAAAACUCUUUUUAAGGAGUUUUUGUUGUAUUCAGGCUCUUUUUUUUCCUCCACUUCAGCCAGUCUGACCUUUCUUUCACUACUCUUUUAUUCCAGCCUUCACUCACGCUGUCGACAACCUCAGUGUGUUUUUAUUCCCACUGACAGGAAGACUUUCUCAGUCAUGAAGCUAUUCUGAGUCGGUCUACAUUCCUGCCUCUGAAUUGUUGUUCGGGGCCACAGUGGAGCCUGAAGUUUGCUGCCACAAGCUUGUCAAAACUAACAAGGUGUGU